rnacentral:sRNA from 21 species
UUGGCGACCGGGUCGACUUCCCGGGUCACCACCAGGUAUUCGCGCAGUGCGAUGGCGUGCAGGUGCUC